AGUUUGAUCCUGGCUCAGAUGAACGCGCGGCAUGCCUUACACAUGCAAGUCGACGGCAGCACGGGGCAACCCUGGUGGCGAGUGGCGAACGGGUGAGUAAUACAUCGGAACGUGUCCUGUAGUGGGGGAUAGCCCGGCGAAAGCCGGAUUAAUACCGCAUACGACCUGAGGGAGAAAGCGGGGGAUCUUCGGACCUCGCGCUAUAGGGGCGGCCGAUGGCAGAUUAGCUAGUUGGUGGGGUAAAGGCCUACCAAGGCGACGAUCUGUAGCUGGUCUGAGAGGACGACCAGCCACACUGGGACUGAGACACGGCCCAGACUCCUACGGGAGGCAGCAGUGGGGAAUUUUGGACAAUGGGGGCAACCCUGAUCCAGCAAUGCCGCGUGUGUGAAGAAGGCCUUCGGGUUGUAAAGCACUUUUGUCCGGAAAGAAAACUUCGUCCCUAAUAUGGAUGGAGGAUGACGUACCGGAAGAUGGCACCGG
rnacentral:rRNA from 1 species